rnacentral:piRNA from 1 species
AGAUGACAAAUGUCAAGCUUUCUGGUGUC